rnacentral:rRNA from 1 species
UACGUAGGGCGCAAGCGUUGUCCGGAAUUAUUGGGCGUAAAGAGCUCGUAGGCGGUCUGUUGCGUCCGCUGUGAAAACUCGGGGCUUAACCCCGAGCCUGCAGUGGAUACGGGCAGACUAGAGGUAGGUAGGGGAGAAUGGAAUUCCCGGUGUAGCGGUGAAAUGCGCAGAUAUCGGGAGGAACACCGGUGGCGAAGGCGGUUCUCUGGGCCUUCCCUGACGCUGAGGAGCGAAAGCGUGGGGAGCGAACAGG